AUACGGAGGAUCCGAGCGUUAUCCGGAUUUAUUGGGUUUAAAGGGUGCGUAGGCGGGACUGUAAGUCAGGGGUGAAAUACUGCAGCUUAACUGUAGCAUUGCCUUUGAAACUGCCGUUCUCGAGUACAGUUGAGGUAGGCGGAAUGUGGUGUGUAGCGGUGAAAUGCAUAGAUAUACCACAGAACGCCGAUUGCGAAGGCAGCUUACUAAGCUGUUACUGACGCUGAGGCACGAAAGCGUGGGGAUCAAACAGGAUUAGAUUCCCUGGUAGUCCACGCUGUAAACGAUGAUUACUGGUUGUUAGCGAUAUAUAGCUAGUGACUGAGCGAAAGCAUUAAGUAAUCCACCUGGGGAGUACGUCGGCAACGAUGAAACUCAAAUGAAUUGGCGGGG
rnacentral:rRNA from 1 species